rnacentral:rRNA from 1 species
GUAACAAGGUUUCCGUAGGUGAACCUGCGGAAGGAUCAUUACCGAGUUGAUUCGAGCUCCGGCACGACUCUCCCACCCAAUGUGUACCUACCUCUGUUGCUUUGGCGGGCCGCGGUCCUCCGCACCGGCGCCCUUCGGGGGGCUGGCCAGCGCCCGCCAGAGGACCAUAAAACUCCAGUCAGUGAACUUCGCAGUCUGAAAAACAAGUUAAUAAACUAAAACUUUCAACAACGGAUCUCUUGGUUCUGGCAUCGAUGAAGAACGCAGCGAAAUGCGAUAAGUAAUGUGAAUUGCAGAAUUCAGUGAAUCAUCGAAUCUUUGAACGCACAUUGCGCCCCUUGGUAUUCCGAGGGGCAUGCCUGUUCGAGCGUCAUUUCAACCCUCAAGCUCUGCUUGGUAUUGGGCCUCGUCCUCCACGGACGCGCCUUAAAGACCUCGGCGGUGGCGUCUUGCCUCAAGCGUAGUAGAAAACACCUCGCUUUGGAGCGCACGGCGUCGCCCGCCGGACGAACCUUUGAAUUAUUUCUCAAGGUUGACCUCGGAUCAGGUAGGGAUACCCGCUGAACUUAAGCAUAUCAUAACCCGGA